rnacentral:pre_miRNA from 1 species
AAUAACUUCAUUUUCAGUUUUUUCAUAUAAUGUUUUGACUUUUCGUUUUAUUUGAAAUUUUUUGCAAUUAAUAUUUUUAUUGUUACUAGAUAAUAAAAUAUGAAUAUCACUUUAUGCGUGACUAAUUAUUUUAAGUUUUUUAGCAAUUUUUUAAAUAAAACAAAUUAUUAAACGUUGGAUAUGGAAAAACA